GCUUGGUGCUCACUAAGAAUUUACGUGGUGUUGAGACCCUGCCGAUGGAUGGCAUUAGUGGGUUCAAGAGCCUGCAGGUGCUUGUCUUGGCACACUGUGCGCUCUCUGGCAGGAUUCCACCUUGGCUGCAGAACUUGGAGAGCCUCAGAGUGCUGGACCUUUCAUGGAACAAGUUGAACGGAACGAUCCCGCUCUGGUUGGGCAAUCUGAAUAAUCUCUUCUAUGUCGACCUGUCAAACAACUCGUUUAGUGGGGAGCUUCCUGAGAGCUUUACACAGCUAAAGAGUUUACUUUCAAGUAAUUACUCAAAUGAGCAUGCAUCAAUAGAGGGCUUCCCAUUAUUCAAGAAGAAUUCAGCUGACAAAGGUUUGCAGUCAAUCAUGUCAGCAGCUUCCCGCCAUCACUGAUCCUCUCCAAUAACUUGCUUGUAGGGCCAGUCCUGCCAGUCCUUGGCCAUCUUGUGAAUCUUCAUGUACUGGACUUGAGCUGGAACAACUUCUCAGGGGGCAUUCCCGACGAGCUGUCAAACAUGUCGAGCCUGGAAGCGCUAAAUUUGUCCCACAAUGAUCUCAGUGGGAGCAUACCAGCAUCUCUAACAAAGUUGACAUUUCUGCCCAAGUUUGAUGUUUCUUACAACAACUUGGCUGGAGAUAUACCAACAGGGGGGCAAUUUUCCACAUUUGCGAAUGAGGAUUUUGUGGGCAAUUCUGCACUCUACCAUCUUUGGAAUGACUCCUGCACCGAAGAGGCUCCAUUUGUGGAAACAAGAAAUGAGCAGCAUCGUGGUGCGGAUACUGCAAUGCCUGCGAUGACAUACAUCACCGUGGAAGUGGGAUUCGCUUUUGGGCUUUUGAUCGUCUGGAAUGUACUGUUCUUCAUAAGGGUUUGGAGGGUUGCGUAUUUUCUGACGAUUGAUAGGUUCUUUGAUAUGAUUUAUAUCAUAACAGUGGUGAAGGUGAACAAGCUCAGAAGAAAAUGGGAGUAUAAUGUUCAUCCUUAAAGAAAGUCAGACGCGGUUGUGUGCAGAUGUUCUUUACUUCAUAUGUUGUUUCCUAUUCUCAGUUUACGGUUUCUUCCUUGGUCCUUGCUUCCGCUUCAGGUGUCACUAGCUUUGUUUGAUUUAGCAGCAGGGCUCUCCCUGUGGUUAGAUUUUUAGUUUCUCUUCAUGUUGCGAAAAAUAUUGUUUGUCAUAUGUAUUGAUUACAUUAAAAUUUAAGAACUUUAUGUGAGGUGCUAAUCUGAAGACUGGUCGCCGUGUGGAGCAGUAAAAUCUGCUAUCCCCUGUCUCAGUUUGUUUGAGCAUUUUUCAGUUCUGUUUUCGGGUUUUCCCUCCUGAAAUCUCGCUUUCCACUUUCUCUUUACUAUUUCUGCAAUGAUUGGAGUCAGUGGCUCCAAGAAACACCUGCAUUUUUUUCUGUAUAUAGAACGUUGUGUAAGCUUUGCUUUAUUCUGUUUGUGACUGUUGUCUUGGCCAAUCCUAGCAUUUUUUUAAUGUUACCUCAUUGUUUUUUUAGCAAGGCUUUUGGUCUCAGCUGGCAAUUCCUUGAGUCUGCUUAUAGAAAAGGAGAGACAAGUUUGAGACAAUGCAAUCUUGUCUCUUGUCUCUUAUAAAAAUGGAGAGAGAAGUUUGCCAGACUGAAACAGAUACAUCAAACUUGCCUCUUGACAGAGGUAGGUCUAAAGCACUAUUCUGGAUAAACCUGGAUUCAGCUCCUCUGACGUGCUGUGAGGCACGACACAGCUGCCGUGCCUCCUUUGGCUAGACUAGCAGGGCGCGAAUGGGGCAUUAAAAAUUGAAAGGCUAACUAGCCAGCAGGCCAGUCAUUGCCGUCUGAUGUAAACUGAACACAACACAACACAACACAAAACAGAACCAGCAAACUGAAAGAAACGGGCAAAUUUGACAAUUGUAGCGAUUGAAGUGGCUGGUGGAGCACUCGUCUGUCAUCUCUUGGAAGAAUGGAAUGAAUUAAGUUCACCUUAUGACCCAGCAUCUGAAUGCUCAUCUGUUCUGCCUUUUGAGUGCAAUCAAGUACAGUGGAUAAGGCAUGCAUUCCCCGGCUAGAGGAUCAAAGAAUCCAGGUGUAAUACUCCCUUAAUGGUUGGGCUAAUAGGCUAUCCUUUGUUACUGUACAAUUAGCUCCACUAGCGUUUAAUGUACCUUGUAGUGCCGAGGCAACGCACUGAAUGUUGUGCAGUAAUCUGAACCCCAACAUUACAAAGUUAAUAUCUGGUGAUCCCUGAAUUUCAUAUAAAAAGAAACUUUACAGCUGUCUGCAAGAUCUAA